UGGGGAAUUUUCCGCAAUGGGCGAAAGCCUGACGGAGCAAUGCCGCGUGGAGGUGGAAGGCCUACGGGUCGUCAACUUCUUUUCUCGGAGAAGAAACAAUGACGGUAUCUGAGGAAUAAGCAUCGGCUAACUCUAUGCUAG
rnacentral:rRNA from 1 species